UUAAAAAGCUCGUAGUUGGAUUUCUGUUGAGAAUGUCCAGUCCGCACAUUGUGCGAGUAUUUGGUACAGUCUUGGCAUCCUCCUGGGGAGCGUUGAUGUACUUGAUUGUAUGUUGCGUGAUUCAGGACUUUUACUUUGAGGAAAUUAGAGUGUUCACGGCAGGCGUUUGCCUUGAAUAUGUUAGCAUGGAAUAAUAAUAUAAGACCUCGGUUUUAUUUUGUUGGUUUCUAGAAGCGAGGUAAUGAUUAAUAGGGACAAUUGGGGGUAUUCGAAUUAACGCGUCAGAGGUGGAAUUCUUGGAUUGCGUUACGACGAACUACUGCGAAAGCAUUUACCAAGGAUGUUUUCAUUGAUCAAGAACGAAAGUCAGGGGAUCGAAGACGAUUAGAUACCGUCGUAGUCUUGACCAUAAACUAUGCCGACUAGAGAUUGGAGGUUCGCUCUUUUUACGGCUCCUUCAGCAUCUUAUGAGAAAUCAAAGUUUUUGGGUUCCGGGGGGA
rnacentral:rRNA from 1 species